rnacentral:rRNA from 1 species
AACGCGAAGAACCUUACCUGGCCUUGACAUCCACGGAAUUUGGCAGAGAUGCCUUAGUGCCUUCGGGAACCGUGAGACAGGUGCUGCAUGGCUGUCGUCAGCUCGUGUUGUGAAAUGUUGGGUUAAGUCCCGCAACGAGCGCAACCCUUAUCCUUUGUUGCCAGCACGUAAUGGUGGGAACUCAAAGGAGACUGCCGGUGAUAAACCGGAGGAAGGUGGGGAUGACGUCAAGUCAUCAUGGCCCUUACGGCCAGGGCUACACACGUGCUACAAUGGCGCAUACAAAGAGAAGCGACCUCGCGAGAGCAAGCGGACCUCAUAAAGUGCGUCGUAGUCCGGAUCGGAGUCUGCAACUCGACUCCGUGAAGUCGGAAUCGCUAGUAAUCGUAGAUCAGAAUG